CCCACAAUUUCCCCAUAUUGGGCAUUUUGGGCAUUGGCCAAAAUGCUGUAUUUUACGAAUGCAUUAGUGUAUCAUUAUGAAACUCGGUUUUGUCAUCGGGACCAUAAUCUGAAGGUGUCACAGUGUCUGGGUUGUGUUCCCUGGGUAACCACUAGAUGUCCUCCUUCCCCACGGUGUCUGUCACUUAAUGAACCACAUUACCCAUGAUCCCUGUCUCCUCAUUGCACUCAGCUGUCACUGAUUAGUAAUCAUUGCACACAGUCAAUUCCCCAUUAGCGUUUGUCAUGUCCCUGUGUAUUUAUACCGGUCUGUCUUAGUAUGUGUCACAGAGUCCUUGUUAAUCCUCGUCCGUCUCUAGUUGUGUUCUAGUCUGGUGGCCUUGUUUAUUUAUGUUGGAUAUGUUUGGUAUUGACCCCCUGCCUGGACUGUUUAUUCUUUGGAUUGCCCUUAAUAAAAGACGUACUCGCAUUUGGAUCUCUCACUGUGUCUCCUUGUAUCCCGGACGUGACAGAAGGACUCCGUCAACUUGAGAUCCAGCGGUAUGUCUGCUCACGUUUCCUCCCCAGCCACAGAGCGGGAGAGGAGCAGUUUUGAGGGAACUAGCCUGGUGGUCUUCCGGGGAACCAGGGGAGGUCGCCGAGGAGGGAGUAGUCGAGAGGAGGUUCAACAUCGCUCUCAACCAUGGCCCCCCUUCGACCCUGGGCUCGUGUGUGACGGAUCGGAGCCACUGUCUCACCAUGGCGGACGGAGAGGGGAAAGGAAGCGCAGGUCCGCCAUGGUGGCGCAACUGCCCAUGAUGGCCACAGGGCCAGCGCCACGAGGCAAGGUGGACGCCAGCCCAGCGCCAAUGCCCAAGAGGGCCGCGGAGACAUUGUUGGAUUACUUUUCCAUGUUGAACCAGAUUUUAGAGAUUCCCAGGAGUGUUCACGUCCCGGCUGCGGAGCCAGCGCCAAUGCCCAAGAUGGCCACCAGCCCAGUGCCACAGCACAGGAUGGCCGCCAGCCCAGCGCCACAGCACAGGAUGGCCGCCAGCCCAGCGCCACAGCACAAGAUGGCCGAAUCUGCACCUGUGUCACCAGACAAGAUGGCCGACUCAACGCCUGAGUCUCCAGACAAGGUGACACCGACUCGCCAUCAUAGAGGGCGGAGGAGGAGGGGACAGGCGUCUACCGUUCCUCAAAGCCCGGCGGAUGUUCCCGAGCAGCCCGCUGCCGUCCCGGAGGCCGUUCCCGAGCAGCCCGCUGCCGGCCCGGAGGAGGUUCCCGAGCAGCCCGCUGCCGUCCCGGAGGCGGCGCCUGAGGCAGAGGCCGAUACGGGGCCCGAGGCGGUUCUUGAAGCCGAGGCGGUUCCUGAGGCCGUUCCCGAGGCAGUGCUCGAUCCGGAGGCUGAGGCGGUGCCCGAGGCCGAGGCGGUGCCUGAUGCCGUUCCGGAGGCCGAGGUGGUGCCCGAUACGGUUCCGGAGGCCGAGGCGGUGCCCGAUGCCAAAGCGGUGCCCGGUGCUGUUCCGGAGGCCGAGGCGGUGCCCGAUGCCGAGGAGGUGGCCGAUGCUGUUCCGGAGGCCGAGGCGGUGCCCGAGGCGGUGCCUGAUGCGGUGGCCGAGGCGGUUCCCGAUGCAAUGUCCGAUGCCGAGGCGGUGCCCGAUGCCGAGGCGGUGCCCGAUGCCGAGGCGGUGCCCGAUGCCGAGGCGGUGCCCGAGGCGGUGCCCGAACCCGAGGUUGUUCCCGAGGCGACGCCCGUGUCCAGGGCCAUUCCCGAGGCGGUGUUCUUGUUCCAUGCCGUUCCUGAGGCCGCUCCCGAGGUGGUGCCCGAGCCCGAGGUCAUGCCCGAGAUCGUUCCCGAGGCGGUGCCCUUGUCCAAAGCCGUUCCCGAGGCGGUGUCCAAUGCCGUGACCUGGCCAUCGCCACAGCCUGCUCCUUACUGGCUCCCCGAUUGGCAGGUUCCGUUCGGGCCACUCAAAUGGCGAAUUCCUCCCUGGCCGUCUGCACAACGAGAAUGGACUGAUCCACCGUGGCCACCUGAACUGCCUGGCCCCUCGUGGUCCCCUGAACUUUCGGGUCCACCAUGGCCCCCUGAUCUGACCGAGCCACUUGGGCUACCAGGGGAGCCAUCGCUGCCGGUCCCAGUUCCCCUACACGGGCCUGGCCCGCCAUCCCUCCCCCUGUUCUGCCUCCACCAGUCCACCUCCCUCCUGGUCUCUUUGUUUUGUGUUUAUUUUGUUCUGAGGAGCAUCUGGAAGCUGCUCCUUAGAGGGGGGGUAGUGUCACGGGUCUGUUCUGUGUCUCCCUGGGUGGCCACUAGAGGUCUCACUUCCCCUUGUUGUCACCCCCUUCUGAACUACAUUUCCCACUAGCCUUAUCUGUUCAUCACUGUUCAUUGUGUUCAGCUGUCACCACUUACCUUGUUUUCACCUGUCUAUAAAUACCCUGGUGGUUUCUGUCAUUGUUACGGAGUCCAUGUUGCAUGUCACCCUGCUUUUUCCUGGUUCCCUAGUGGAUGUUCGUGUUUCGUGUUUUGGACUGUUUAAUGUCACCCUGGUUUCGUGUUUCCUUGCUUGGUUUGUGUUUCUUGUUUUGGACUGAUUACCUGGAUGUUGACCAUUGCCUGGCUAAGUUUA
ensembl:lncRNA